GCUUACGGCCACAACUCCCUGAGCACCGCCGAUCUCGUCUGAUCUCGGAAGCUAAGCAGGGUCGGGCCCGGUUAGUACUUGGAUGGGAGGGACCGCCUGGGAAUACCAGGCUGUAAGCC
rnacentral:rRNA from 1 species